AUUGAACGCUGGCGGCAUGCCUUACACAUGCAAGUCGAACGGUAACAGGUCUUCGGAUGCUGACGAGUGGCGAACGGGUGAGUAAUACAUCGGAACGUGCCCGAUCGGGGGGGAUAACAAAGCGAAAGCUUUGCUAAUACAGAAUAAGAUCUACGGAUGAAAGCAGGGGAACGCAAGGCCUUGCGCGAACGGAGCGGCCGAUGGCAGAUUAGGUAGUUGGUGGGAUAAAAGCUUACCAAGCCGACGAUCUGUAGCUGGUCUGAGAGGACGACCAGCCACACUGGGACUGAGACACGGCCCAGACUCCUACGGGAGGCAGCAGUGGGGAAUUUUGGACAAUGGGCGAAAGCCUGAUCCAGCCAUGCCGCGUGCAGGAUGAAGGCCUUCGGGUUGUAAACUGCUUUUGUACGGAACGAAAAGACUCUUUCUAAUAAAGAGGGUCCAUGACGGUACCGUAAGAAUAAGCACCGGCUAACUACGUGCCAGCCGCCGCCGUAAUAC
rnacentral:rRNA from 1 species